rnacentral:rRNA from 1 species
CCUACGGGAGCAGCAGUGGGGAAUAUUGGACAAUGGGCGAAAGCCUGAUCCAGCAAUGCCGCGUGAGUGAUGAAGGCCUUAGGGUUGUAAAGCUCUUUUACCAGGGAUGAUAAUGACAGUACCUGGAGAAUAAGCUCCGGCUAACUCCGUGCCAGCAGCCGCGGUAAUACGGAGGGAGCUAGCGUUGUUCGGAAUUACUGGGCGUAAAGAGUACGUAGGCGGUGAUUCAAGUCAGAGGUGAAAGCCUGGAGCUCAACUCCAGAACUGCCUUUGAAACUAGAUCGCUAGAAUUGUGGAGAGGUUAGUGGAAUUCCGAGUGUAGAGGUGAAAUUCGUAGAUAUUCGGAAGAACACCAGUGGCGAAGGCGACUAACUGGACACAUAUUGACGCUGAGGUACGAAAGCGUGGGGAGCAAACAGGAUUAGAUACCCUGGUAGUCCACGCCGUAAACGAUGAUAACUAGCUGUUCGGGGUCUACGAUCCUGAGUGGCGCAGCUAACGCAUUAAGUUAUCCGCCUGGGGAGUACGGUCGCAAGAUUAAAACUCAAAGGAAUUGACGG